UACGUAGGGGGCGAGCGUUAUCCGGAUUUACUGGGUGUAAAGGGAGCGCAGGCGGCAGGGCAAGUCAGAUGUGAAAUACCGGGGCCCAACCCCGGGACUGCAUUUGAAACUGUCCGGCUGGAGUGCAGGAGAGGCAGGCGGAAUUCCUAGUGUAGCGGUGAAAUGCGUAGAUAUUAGGAGGAACACCAGUGGCGAAGGCGGCCUGCUGGACUGUAACUGACGCUGAGGCUCGAAAGCGUGGGGAGCAAACAGG
rnacentral:rRNA from 1 species